AGCAGCCGCGGUAAUUCCAGCUCCAAUAGCGUAUAUUAAAGUUGUUGCAGUUAAAAAGCUCGUAGUUGAAUUUCGGGGUUAGCAGGUCGGUCGUGCCAUCGGUAUGAACUGGUCUCGCUGAUCCCUCCCUCUUGACGAACUGUGAUGCCAUUAAUUUGGUGUCGCAGGGAAUCAGGACUGUUACUUUGAAAAAAUUAGAGUGUUUAAAGCAGGCUCACGCUUGAAUACAUUAGCAUGGAAUAAUGAAAUAGGACGUUUGAUCCUAUUUUGUUGGCUUCUAGGAUUGACGUAAUGAUUAAUAGGGAUAGUUGGGGGCAUUAGUAUUCAAUUGUCAGAGGUGAAAUUCUUGGAUUUAUUGAAGACUAACUACUGCGAAAGCAUUUGCCAAGGAUGUUUUCAUUAAUCAAGAACGAAAGUUAGGGGAUCGAAGACGAUCAGAUACCGUCGUAGUCUUAACCAUAAACUAUGCCGACUAGGGAUCGGAUGAUGUUAAUUUAAUGACUCA
rnacentral:rRNA from 1 species